rnacentral:lncRNA from 1 species
AUUAGAAACAAAUUUUGGUCGGUGCUCCCUGGGCUGCUGGUCUUCUUUACCUUCCAGCUGCUCACAGAACAGAGAGUUUCUACAUACAAGCAGAAGAUGUGAAAAUAUUGGGAAUAAAUAAAGUAUAUGCUUAUAAACAAGUUGUGGCUGCUCCUGGUUACGUUGUGCCUGACCGAGGAACUGGCAGCAGCGGGAGAGAAGUCUUAUGGAAAGCCAUGUGGGGGCCAGGACUGCAGUGGGAGCUGUCAGUGUUUUCCUGAGAAAGGAGCGAGACACAACUUGCAGCUACUGAAUGAUAUGGCUGGCCGGCUCUACCAUUUCAGUGAGGUUCUGCCUAAUCUCUUUUGAUUCUAAGGGGUAAUGUGGCUCAGCCACAGCAAGGAGGCUGAGUUCUGAUGUUCUCUUUCCCCAUACUUCUAUGGAAGACUGGAAGACAGAUUACUUGCAGUGAUUUCUGGAGGCAGAAGAUAAGCAAGUGGCCUCUAUGAUGGUAGAACCAAGAAAGAAUGAUCAUUGCCCUUAAGCCUUCAGAGAUGACAGCUAAAUCCAGAGGGAAAAUAAAUAGGGAUAAGAUUGUAAAAAAAGUUGCUGCUGGAGAAAAAAUAGCUGCUGCUGAUAAAGAACCUCAAUAAAUUCAAACAAUGUCUGCGUUUGGCCCUCAAAUGUCAUGCUGGCUCAUUGCUCGGGAGAAAGAGCCGUACAACUACCAUGUCAGAGGAGAUGAGGAAGCAAAGAAGUCUGACUAAGGGCACUGCCAUGGAUAUUCUUGCCCCUGCUUUGGAACAAUCUAUCAUUGGAUUGUGGAGAGGAAGCAAGGAGGCAGCUGGCAGUGUGACACCACGUGCUAUGACUCAUGACUGUUUUGCCUGAUGGUUGGCAACAUAGUAUUGGCACAGUUGUGGGCUCUAGAGUACCUGGGCCUGAAUCUCUAUUGAUAUGUGCCAUUUGGCAAAUUUCUAAACUCUAAGUCUUAGCUGUCUCAUAUACAAAAUGGGCAUAAUACAUCCUCCCUCAUAUGGUUGUUGUGAGGAUUAAUAAAACAGUGUUUAUAAAGUGCUUGGCACAGUGCUGAACACAUAGCAGUAAAUAAAUAUUAGUCAUUAUUAAUAUUAGCUGAUGCACAUUUGGGGGCAAUUUCAAGAAAGAAUUGAUUACAAUAGUAAAUUCAGACUAUGGCAUCUAUUGAUUGUUCCUUUUUAAAUGAACCAUUUUAAAUACAGUAAAAGCCCUCCUCCCUGGCCUCUGCUUAACUUCCUUUAUGGAGUAAGUCGAUGUUUUUCCUUCCUAUUGGAAUAUACACUGGCCAAUGCUCAGGGCACAAUGGAAGCUCAUGGGCAGGUAAGUUACUUCUGGUGAACACUUAUAUUUCUGCUUCCACACAACAAGUUGAUCACUUACCAAAAGUUAGCUGUGUUUUUGCCAAGCCCAUUUAUGGCAGUUGUACUCGUUAUUACAAGUAGGUAAUUUAAUGUAAAUUUGUGAAAUAUGAGUAUAAAAAGAAAACUAUUAUUUUCAUGAAAACUAAGUUCAAUGCUUUGGAAAGACUUACUAAAGAAAAGUUGCUUUUGAAAACUGCCAUAUUGUUAAAAAUAAAACAAAACUGAAAGUGGAAAUCAAAUGUGAUGCAUUAGGAAUGUAACUUACGUGAAAAAGAGUCUGUGAAAUCCCAGGGUGUGGCCUCACGCUCAAAGAAAAGGCCUUGGCCUUACAACACAUCACCAGAGUGGUGAAUGAAUGUACCUUUGUGUGUUUUAGGUUGAAAUAAAAUGUUUUAUGUAUGUAUA